rnacentral:rRNA from 1 species
AUUGAACGCUGGCGGCAGGCUUAACACAUGCAAGUCGAACGGUAACAUAAAGAAGCUUGCUUCUUUGAUGACGAGUGGCGGACGGGUGAGUAAUGCUUGGGAAUCUAGCUUAUGGAGGGGGAUAACUACGGGAAACUGUAGCUAAUACCGCGUAGUAUCGAGAGAUGAAAGUGUGGGACCUUCGGGCCACAUGCCAUAGGAUGAGCCCAAGUGGGAUUAGGUAGUUGGUGAGGUAAAGGCUCACCAAGCCGACGAUCUCUAGCUGGUCUGAGAGGAUGACCAGCCACACUGGGACUGAGACACGGCCCAGACUCCUACGGGAGGCAGCAGUGGGGAAUAUUGCGCAAUGGGGGCAACCCUGACGCAGCCAUGCCGCGUGAAUGAAGAAGGCCUUCGGGUUGUAAAGUUCUUUCGGUAGCGAGGAAGGCAUUUAGUUUAAUAGACUAGGUGAUUGACGUUAACUACAGAAGAAGCACCGGCUAACUCCGUGCCAGCAGCCGCGGUAAUACGGAGGGUGCGAGCGUUAAUCGGAAUAACUGGGCGUAAAGGGCACGCAGGCGGUGACUUAAGUGAGGUGUGAAAGCCCCGGGCUUAACCUGGGAAUUGCAUUUCAUACUGGGUCGCUAGAGUACUUUAGGGAGGGGUAGAAUUCCACGUGUAGCGGUGAAAUGCGUAGAGAUGUGGAGGAAUACCGAAGGCGAAGGCAGCCCCUUGGGAAUGUACUGACGCUCAUGUGCGAAAGCGUGGGGAGCAAAUAGG